GAUUUCCUCUUUUUAUUUUAUUUUAUUUUCUUCUCUCUCUCUCUGCCGACACUCACAGAUCUUCUUCUUCGUUCUUUCUCUUUUUUUUUUCUUUUGUAUGAAUCUGUUCCUGUUCUCUUCACUCUCAUUUCUCUCAUCUCUCCCAUCUCUCUCCAGUUUGAAAGUUUACUGAUUUCUCUCAUGUUUUUUUUUUAGAUUUAGUCAACAGAGAACAUAUGAAGAUGAUAAUGGAGAUGACUAAGACUCGCUGGUGAAGAAGACUCGUCGGUGACGAACGCCGGAGCUCACCGGAGAUGAUGCGCAUCGAAGAGUAACCGGGCGCAUGGAGAGGAACCGUAAAUGAGGCAGAAGAAGAAGAUGUAUGGUGGUGGUGCUUAGGGAAGAAUGGUGUGCUAGAGGAGUUGAAAGAGCUCGAAGGUGAAGAGGUAGUAGAAGAAGUGUGACAGAGGAGGACACAGAAGAAGCUUCCCGGAGCUGGAGGUGGAGGAACUGGUGGCGACCAUGCGGGAGAAGGAGAGAGCGGCGGCUUAGGGUUAGGAUAGGUUUUUGGUUUAAUAGGUUUGGUUUAUUAUAUUAUAAAUAAAAUUGUAAACCGGAUUCUAUUUGUAAACCAAUUUAAAUUAUAAAUAAAAUUUAUUAUAUUUUAUAUUAUUAACAA